GAGUUAAUUAGUAAUCAAAUUAUUAAUUAAAUUUCUCAUAAAUACUGAGUCCAAAUUUGAUAGGCAAUCAGGCAUCAGAAUUCAUCGAUAUGUAACCCUGAUCGAAAAGUCCCAACCAGUGGGACUCUUGACCCCGAUACCCAUAAUGUGUGGAACUCAUGAUCAGAGAAUCCUGAUUCUCGAUCACUGAGUCCCAAACAUGUAGAAUUCUACAUCAGCCAUCAGAUCAGAUAGGAACUUCUAAUGUAUGUGACCCCGCAGGUUCGAAUCUAAGCCGGUAGCAUAGGAACCAAUUCCUGUACUAAUCGAAGUGACCAUCUAGCAAUGGUACCCGAUAUUCAGAU
rnacentral:lncRNA from 1 species